GGACGAACGCUGGCGGCGUGCUUAACACAUGCAAGUCGAACGGGGCGAAGUGAUAGCUUGCUAUUAUGGAGCCUAGUGGCAAACGGGUGAGUAACGCGUAGGCAACCUGCCCUUCAGAUGGGGACAACACCUCGAAAGGGGUGCUAAUACCGAAUGACGUUUCCUGGUCGCAUGACCUGGAAACCAAAGGCCGGGGCAACCGGUCACUGAAGGAUGGGCCUGCGUCUGAUUAGCUAGUUGGCAGGGUAACGGCCUACCAAGGCGACGAUCAGUAGCCGGCUUGAGAGAGUGAUCGGCCACAUUGGGACUGAGACACGGCCCAAACUCCUACGGGAGGCAGCAGUGGGGAAUAUUGCACAAUGGGGGAAACCCUGAUGCAGCAACGCCGCGUGAGUGACGAAGUAUUUCGGUAUGUAAAGCUCUAUCAGCAGGGAAGAAAAUGACGGUACCUGACUAAGAAGCACCGGCUAAAUACGUG
rnacentral:rRNA from 1 species